rnacentral:lncRNA from 1 species
UCCACUCCUUUCUGUAUCUCCUUCCUCGACCCAAUCCCCACCUCCCCGGCCUCUCUUGACCUUCCUCCACUCGCAAUCCUAGUGGCAACCAUCACCCCCACACACCAUUGUGUACCUUUCCGGCUAUCCCCUCCCCCUCGGAACUAUCUUCACGAUGAUGGUUGAUCUGCAGCAUGUGCAGCUGAUCUGCCAAGUUUGACGGCGGCAGCAGCCCGAGUGAUGAGAUCCGCAUCUUGGGCGCGCGCAGAUCCAGCAAGGGCUCAACCCCCGAUGUUGGCCUUGUCGGAGAGGAGCGACCGUGUGGUGGCCGGUCUAAGACAAUGGCUCGCGGGAGGCCGUAGUGUACCCUAGCCGCCACUGGAUUCCGGUGUGCCUUCCGCCCCUUCUGUUGGCUUCCUCGACAUCAUGGCUGCUUCAACCACAUGUCAGGUUCAUUUGCCUAAGCUGGUACCCAUAACAGCCGUUCGUGGGCAAGGUGCGAAGCCUAAGGCUGGUGCGUGGCCACCCUCUUCAAUAGAUUGCUUAAGCUUGGCUACUGCCUUCUCCAAAUCUUAUGGUGUUGUGUGUGUGUGUGUGUGUGUGUGUGUGCUGACAUGGCGGCGGCAGCGAUUAUCGAGGGCUAGUCAUGUAUACGAGUGAGAUGUGUGUGUGUGCAGCAGCCGGUGUGUUGUGUUUCCGGGUUUCCUCUCUGAAUCUUUAAAUCUUUAACACUGAAUUUUCUCUGUAUCUUUACACUGCAGGGUACCCAGUAGAGACAAAAGGCACAUGUUCAUCAACCGGCUACAUUGUGCUAU